AACGCACGAGACCUGCGGACCUGCGGAAGGAUCAUUAAAGAGUUUAACUACUCAAACCAUUGUGAACCUUACCUCAACCGUUGCUUCGGCGGGCGGGCCCGGGCCAAGCCCGGCGCCCCCCCGGCCCCUCGCGGGCGCCCGCCGGAGGUUAACCGAACCCUUGAAUUGUAUGGCCUCUCUGAGUCUUCUGUACUGAAUAAGUCAAAACUUUCAACAAUGGAUCUCUAGAUCGGAAGAGCA
rnacentral:misc_RNA from 1 species